CCCGAUCCAUCCAGAGACGCAUCCUAGGAGUUCAUCACUAACCUAAAUAUAAACACUAAACUCAAAUAUCAAAAUCUAAAAAAUACAUAAUGUUAUGUAAUAAUCAAUUAUAUUAUGUUAUAUUAAAUUAUAUUAUGUAACAUGCCAAUUAUACAUCACCAAAAUUAAAACACAUGAUAUGAAAAUUUAGAAGUGUUCUAUUCCAUAUCACCAUAAUAGUAUAUAACACCAACCCCAUAUAACCUCCUCAAUAAUAAACCAUAUAACAACUCCAUAAUAAAC
rnacentral:lncRNA from 1 species